UGGGGAAUUUUGGACAAUGGGGGCAACCCUGAUCCAGCAAUGCCGCGUGAGUGAAGAAGGCCUUCGGGUUGUAAAGCUCUUUUGUCAGGGAAGAAACGGUAGUAGCGAAUAACUACUACUAAUGACGGUACCUGAAGAAUAAGCACCGGCUAACUACGUGCCAGCAGCCGCGGUAAUACGUAGGGUGCAAGCGUUAAUCGGAAUUACUGGGCGUAAAGCGUGCGCAGGCGGUUGUGUAAGUCAGAUGUGAAAUCCCCGGGCUCAACCUGGGAAUUGCAUUUGAGACUGCACGGCUAGAGUGUGUCAGGAGGGGGGUAGAAUUCCACGUGUAGCAGUGAAAUGCGUAGAUAUGUGGAGGAAUACCGAUGGCGAAGGCAGCCCCCUGGGAUAACACUGACGCUCAUGCACGAAAGCGUGGGGAGCAAACAGGAUUAGAUACCCUGGUAGUCCCUGAGCGGGCUGGCAAGGCGCAU
rnacentral:rRNA from 1 species